AACGUAGGGGACAAGCGUUAUCCGGAUUUACUGGGCGUAAAGCGCCCGUAGGCGGCUUGUUAAGUUGGACGUGAAAGCUCCCGGCUUAACUGGGAGAGGCCGUUCAAAACUGACAGGCUAGAGUGAGGAAGAGGAGAGCGGAAUUCCCGGUGUAGUGGUGGAAUGCGUAGAUAUCGGGAGGAACACCAGUGGCGAAGGCGACUACCUGGCCUGUUCUUGACGCUGAGGCGCGAAAGCUAGGGGAGCAAACGGG
rnacentral:rRNA from 1 species